UGCAGUCGACGGCAGCAUGAUCUAGCUUGCUAGAUUGAUGGCGAGUGGCGAACGGGUGAGUAAUACAUCGGAACGUGCCCUGUAGUGGGGGAUAACUAGUCGAAAGAUUAGCUAAUACCGCAUACGACCUGAGGGUGAAAGUGGGGGACCGCAAGGCCUCAUGCUAUAGGAGCGGCCGAUGUCUGAUUAGCUAGUUGGUGGGGUAAAGGCCCACCAAGGCGACGAUCAGUAGCUGGUCUGAGAGGACGAUCAGCCACACUGGGACUGAGACACGGCCCAGACUCCUACGGGAGGCAGCAGUGGGGAAUUUUGGACAAUGGGCGAAAGCCUGAUCCAGCAAUGCCGCGUGUGUGAAGAAGGCCUUCGGGUUGUAAAGCACUUUUGUCCGGAAAGAAAUCGCUUCGGUUAAUACCUGGAGUGGAUGACGGUACCGGAAGAAUAAGGACCGGCUAACUACGUGCCAGCAGCCGCGGUAAUACGUAGGGUCCAAGCGUUAAUCGGAAUUACUGGGCGUAAAGCGUGCGCAGGCGGUUGUGCAAGACCGAUGUGAAAUCCCCGAGCUUAACUUGGGAAUUGCAUUGGUGACUGCACGGCUAGAGUGUGUCAGAG
rnacentral:rRNA from 1 species